GACGAACGCUGGCGGCGUGCCUAAUACAUGCAAGUAGAACGCUGAAGAGAGGAGCUUGCUCUUCUUGGAUGAGUUGCGAACGGGUGAGUAACGCGUAGGUAACCUGCCUUGUAGCGGGGGAUAACUAUUGGAAACGAUAGCUAAUACCGCAUAACAAUGGAUGACACAUGUCAUUUAUUUGAAAGGGGCAAUUGCUCCACUACAAGAUGGACCUGCGUUGUAUUAGCUAGUAGGUGAGGUAAUGGCUCACCUAGGCGACGAUACAUAGCCGACCUGAGAGGGUGAUCGGCCACACUGGGACUGAGACACGGCCCAGACUCCUACGGGAGGCAGCAGUAGGGAAUCUUCGGCAAUGGGGGCAACCCUGACCGAGCAACGCAGCGUGAGUGAAGAAGGGUUUCGGAUCGUAAAGCUCUGUUGUAAGUCAAGAACGGGGGUGAGAGUGGAAAGUUCACACUGUGACGGUAGCUUACCAGAAAGGGACGGCUAACUACGUG
rnacentral:rRNA from 1 species